rnacentral:rRNA from 1 species
GACGGACCGUGCGAACGUUGUUCGGAAUCACUGGGCAUAAAGGGCGCGUAGGCGGCUUUUCAAGUCAGGGGUGAAAUCCGGCAGCUUAACUGUCGAAGUGCCCUUGAUACUGAUGAGCUCGAGGGAGGUAGGGGUAUGUGGAACUUCCGGUGGAGCGGUGAAAUGCGUUGAUAUCGGAAGGAACGCCGGUGGCGAAAGCGACGUACUGGACCUCUUCUGACGCUGAGGCGCGAAAGCUAGGGGAGCAAACGGG